UAAUACGAAGGUCCCAAGCGUUGUUCGGAAUCACUGGGCGUAAAGCUUGCGUAGGCGGCAUGGUAAGUCAGAUGUGAAAGCCCGGGGCUCAACCCCGGAACUGCAUCCGAUACUGCCAAGCUAGAGUAGUGGAGGGGAGUCUGGAAUUCACGGUGUAGCAGUGAAAUGCGUAGAUAUCGUGAGGAACACUAGUGGCGAAGGCGAGACUCUGGACACUAACUGACGCUGAGGCACGAAGGCUAGGGUAGCGAAAGGGAUUAGAUACCCCUGUAGUCCUAGCAGUAAACGGUGCGCGUUUGGUGUGGGCAGGUUCGACCCUGUCCGUGCCGGAGCUAACGCGUUAAACGCGCCGCCUGGGGAGUACGGUCGCAAGACUA
rnacentral:rRNA from 1 species